AUACUGCUGGCCUUGGGACCGGGAGAGGCGGAGGGUACCCCUGGGGUAGGGGUGAAAUCCUAUAAUCCCAGGGGGACCGCCAGUGGCGAAGGCGCUCCGCUGGAACGGGUCCGACGGUGAGGGACGAAGGCCAGGGGAGCAAACCGGAUUAGAUCCCCGGGUAGUCCUGGCUGUAAAGGAUGCGGGCUAGGUGUCGGGCGAGCUUCGAGCUCGCCCGGUGCCGAAGGGAAGCCGUUAAGCCCGCCGCCUGGGGAGUACGGCCGCAAGGCUGAAACUUAAAGGAAUUGGCGGGGGAGCACUACAAGGGGUGGAGCGUGCGGUUUAAUUGGAUUCAACGCCGGGAACCUCACCGAGGGCGACGGCAGGAUGAAGGCCAGGCUGAAGGUCUUGCCGGACACGCCGAGAGGAGGUGCAUGGCCGCCGUCAGCUCGUACCGUGAGGCGUCCACUUAAGUGUGGUAACGAGCGAGACCCGCGCCCCCAGUUGCCAGUCCUCCCCGCUGGGGAGGAGGCACUCUGGGGGGACCGCCGGCGAUAAGCCGGAGGAAGGAGCGGGCGACGGUAGGUCAGUAUGCCCCGAAACCCCCGGGCUACACGCGCGCUACAAUGGGCGGGACAAUGGGAUCCGACCCCGAAAGGGGAAGGGAAUCCCCUAAACCCGCCCCCAGUUCGGAUUGCGGGCUGCAACUCGCCCGCAUGAAGCUGGAAUCCCUAGUACCCGCGUGUCAU
rnacentral:rRNA from 1 species